CUUUGAUCUGUGUGCUGGGAUUAUUCUUGACGAAUAAACUCCACUAUGGACAAUCUGAAGCAGGUAGACGCAGGAUUACACUGACAGCAGACAGAAAGACCAUACGAGGACAGCAGAGUGUGACUCUGACCUGCUAUGUGGAGAACUCUGCUGGCUGGAAAUAUCAGUGGUUCAGACAAAC